rnacentral:rRNA from 1 species
GACGAACGCUGGCGGCGUGCUUAACACAUGCAAGUCGAACGAAGUGGCGAACGGGUGAGUAACGCGUAAUCAACCUGCCCUUCAGAGGGGGACAACAGUUGGAAACGACUGCUAAUACCGCAUACUGAAGGAAGGGAUUGCGUCUGAUUAGCUAGUUGGAGGGGCAAUGGCCCACCAAGGCGAAGGUCAGUAGCCGGUCUGGGGGGAUUGACGGCCAAAUUGGGACUGAGUAACGGCCCAGAACCCUACGGGAGGCAGCAGGGGGGAAUCAUCCGCAAUGGACGAAAGUCUGACGGAGCAACGCCGCGUGAGUGGUGACGGCCUUCGGGUUGGAAAGCUCUGUUAAUCGGGACGCGGUACCGGAAUAGAAAGCCACGGCUAACUACGUGCCAGCAGCCGCGGUAAUAC